rnacentral:rRNA from 1 species
GAUGAACGCUGGCGGCGUGCCUAAUACAUGCAAGUCGAGCGAACAGACGAGGAGCUUGUUCCUCUCACGAUAGCGGCGCAGGGGUGAGUAACACGUGGAUAACCCACCUAUCAGACUGGGAUAACUUCGGGAAACCGGCGCUAAUACCGGAUAAUAUAUUGCACCGUAUGGUUCAAUGGUGAAUGACGGUUUUGCUGUCUCUUCUAGCUGGAUCCCGGCCGCUUUGGGUAGUUGGUAAGGUAACGGCUUACCAAGGCGAGGAUGCGUAGCCGACGUGAGAGAGUGAUCGGCCACACGGGAGCGUAGACGCGGUCCAUGGUCCUACGGGAGGCACCAGUAUGGAAUCUUCCGCAAUAGUCGGAAGCCUUGCAGAGCAACGCCGCGUGAGUGAUAGAAAUCUCCGGAUCGGAAAGCUCUGUUAUUGGGUAAGAACAAAUGUGUACGGAGCUGUAGACGUCUUGACGGUACCUAAUCAGAAAGCCACGGCUAACUACGUG